UGAAACACGGACCAAGGAGUUUAGCGUAUGCGCGAGUCAUUGAGUGUUGAAACUCAAAGGCGUAAUGAAAGUGAAUUGAAAAUGAUAUGCGAUCCUGUAUGCCUCGGCGUGCGGGAGCAGCAUAGCCCCGUCCCGAUCGCUUGCGAUGGGGCGGAGGUAGAGCGUAUUCGCUGAGACCCGAAAGAUGGUGAACUAUUCCUGAGCAGGAUGAAGCCAGAGGAAACUCUGGUGGAAGUCCGAAGCGGUUCUGACGUGCAAAUCGAUCGUCUGACUUGGGUAUAGGGGCGAAAGACUAAUCGAACCAUCUAGUAGCUGGUUCCCUCCGAAGUUUCCCCCAGGAUAGCUGGAGCUCAUUUGUUUAGUUAUACUCGGUAAAGCGAACGAUUAGAGGACUUGGGGAUGAAAUGUUCUCAACCUAUUCUCAAACUCUCAAUGGGUAUGAAGCUGUGAGUUUCUUGAUUGAACUCCGGCGUUGAAUAUCGAGCUCCAAGUGGGCCAUUUUUGGUAAGCA
rnacentral:rRNA from 1 species